CGCUUCUUCGAGAAGACAAUGGACUAGAGCGAGCGAAGUAGCGAGUGGGUCAGCGCACGUAGUGCUGUCGGAUCGGUACUUCGGCUCGCGGCGGCAGGACCGGCGGUAGCACCGCGACGAGAACCAGAGGCGGCACGCCCCGCUACUGCGGACGUCCAGCGGCCUCAGCCGCCGAGUCCUGGCGCGCGCCCGUUUGGGAGAGUUUUAGCGCCGGAAGAAGAGGUAGGACCAAACGCCCCGCUACCCGACGAGGGACGGGCACGACCCCGCCGCGCACGGGCGCGAGGCCGGGCUUCCGCUGCAGAAGAAGGACCAGUUCCGAAAGCGCCGCCCCCAGUAGGAGCGUUGCCCCAAGUAGGUGUAGGAGGGACUACGCAAGCUGUUGGAGUGCAGCCUGACGGACGGAAGACUGCCCGGCACCUUCCUGAAGGUCAAGGGCAAGCGGCCCAAUCCUCGGUACCAACCGCGGUAGCCGUGCGAGCAGCAGCUGUGGCAGCGGUGCCCCAUGAAGUGCGCGCGGGUGAACUUGUUCCUGCCUCGGUUGCGCCGCUAUUCAUCGUUGCGGCGGCCGCACCUGCUCCUCUUUGUCCGACGACGGCUCCUUCGCGCGGUAGUGCUGCCGCUCCUCGUGCUGCAUGUGCACGUGUGCGUGCGCUGCGUGCCUGUGCGGGUGCCCAGCCGCCGCGAGCACCGUCGGCAACCGCCCCGUCUACUGCUUUUCCUGUGCUAGGCCGUAGCGCAUUAGAGAGUCCAUGAACUCAACCCAUAACACCACGUGAGCCACUAGUAGCCGUAGAGGGAGCCGCGCAGAGUCUUGGGACUUUGUUAGUUUGGAGAACACCGGCGGAACUCGAAGGUGGUCUACAAGCUCCCUUACCCGGAACCACCGACGUAUCAGGUCCAUAUUGGUAUAUGCAAUACUCCAAACAGUGUCAAAAACUCUUAAAUAGUCAUAGAGAUGAAGAGAUAGGGAUAGAAGAGAUAGAAAUAGAGAUAGAUAUAGAUAGAGAUAGAGAUGAUUAAUAGAGGUAAAGAUGAUUAGAGAUAAAUAAUUUUGAUUGCAUACCAACGGCAAAGUGGGAGAGGAAGCAGGUUGCGCCUCAACGUGACAAUAACAACGCUACGUGUACGUACCAAACAUAUCAAUCCUAAUACCCUUAACAGUGUCAAAAAAAUCUUGAACAAUGUUUUUCUGGUACGUACGUACAUCUGUUUUAUAGACGACCAUUAUGGUUUAAUAUAUAGAACUGGUUUUGGUUCGUAACGAACUGGACACUGAGCACCUCACGUACAAUACGUUUCCACGAUGAUGAACUGAACGAACGGAUAAAAAGGUCCUUUAUUUAUUUUUUACUACCGAUAUGUACGGAUUGCCCUUGAAACGUACAUACCAGAGGUAGUCUUCACCGGGUAGAUUUAUUUGUGAUCGAUCAUGAAGACGAAGCCUUUCCCCUCUUAAGAUACUACGAGGAGGCACAUAUUUCAAGAUCUCUUGGUAUAUAUUUAUAGACCUCUUAUAUACAGACCAUUAAAAUGUUGCUACAGAUCAAUAGUACCCUCUCUUCUUUCAUGUCGACUCGUGAAGCCCAACGGACCUCUUGUUUCGUUUAAUUAGGUUCCCUUAGAGGACGAUCAAAAGUGGGCGAGAGAAAUUGGUAAUUAUAGGAGUGUUAUGGGUGCCAAUAAUCGUAAUAAAACAGUCAUUAGACCAUGCUGCCUUAAAUCAGGACUAAUCAAAGACUCCUACUACGUCCGUUUCAAGUUCCGAUCCAGGUAGCACUAGUACUAGGAGAAGAAGACGAACUGUUGCGGCCACCCUUAGGAGUAACCGAAACCGUAUAGUGCCCACAUGUUGUUCUUGUCGGGCUGCCGCGACCACCACCUCCCGUCGGAGUUGAGGCACCGUCGCCCCUAGGAGUAGAUGUACCGGGAGCAGCUGGAGGAGCGGCGCCUGAAGUACUUGGGGUUCCACGUCUCGUCCCCCUUCGACGUCGAACCGUAGUUGCAGAGGUACGACCAACCACGUCCGGAGUACAGGUACGAGCGGUUUACCCGGAUCAGCGUUCGCAUGUUGUACUUUGUCAAAACGAGGUACAGUAUACAUGUCUGCAUGGAGAUAACCCAGCAGCUCAAACUUUGCUAUAUUAGAGGGUUUGAUCCAUUACGGUUGGGUCAUCGCACAGACUUCUUUUGGACAAAACCUGGCUUUCAAACCCUCCACGUCUUUCGCACUCACAAAUAGCGUUCCCUACAGCUGUAAUACAGCGGUCGAAACUGUUCAGAAAGUUGGUUUUGACUACCUUUCUUUAAUAAGUGUAUCUACUAAGGUAUAGGCGGUUUUGUUUUACUCAUAUAAUAACUGAAACUGGCUCUUGGUUCUUGGUUCACGUUUGAUUGGACCCGCACUCUCAACUCUUUGAUCUACUACGGGGCGCGCAACGCCGCCCUAAAACAUACUUUAUUUUUGACGCAACUUAAUUGGUAAAUCGAUAACAGAAAUAUCGAAGAGGACUUCACUCUGUUAAACAAAUAGUCAUAAAAUGUUUAUUUAUUCAUUUAUUUAUAAAGAUAGAUAUUAAGUUUCAAUUUGGUUUUGUUUUAUUUUAUACGCACGUGCUGAGUGAAAAGAAAGUAUAUCUCGUGAGUGAUACUCCGAUACUCGACGUACGUACAUACGUACGUACGCAGACGUAAAAAAGGAACUCAUUUUAAAAAUAUCCGCCCUCAAUGACGUACGUUGUACACCAUCGGCGUCAUCGAGAAUCAUACAACUAGGCUGCCUAUAAUAAGUAACUAGAUCAUAUAGGUUCCCGAUCUUAUUAAACCCACUACACCGAGUUCCUCUUCGAUCUAUUAAGGAUCAUCACCCCCGAUCGAUAAAUCUAUAUCAUCUAAGCGUUCCUAUGGG
rnacentral:rRNA from 1 species